rfam:Triticum aestivum genome assembly, contig: Triticum_aestivum_CS42_TGACv1_scaffold_602540_7DL
UAGGGUACCUUCCAAUCCUCUUUAGUUCAACCAAAUGAACUAAAUUUCCAAAAUCACAUCAGUUUUUGAAACUUUUAGUUCAUUUGAUUGAACUAAAGAGGGUUGGAGGGUACCCUA